rnacentral:pre_miRNA from 15 species
GGCUGUGGGCUGGCUUAAUCUCAGCUGGCAACUGUGAGCUGUUCGUGCAAUCCUCACAGUGGCCUCUGGGACUAUGCUACACAGAGCA